CGGACGGGUGAGUAACACGUGGAUAACCUACCUAUAAGACUGGGAUAACUUCGGGAAACCGUAGCUAAUACCGGAUAAUAUUUUGAACCGCAUGGUUCAAAAGUGAAAGACGGUCUUGCUGUCACUUAUAGAUGGAUCCGCGCUGCAUUAGCUAGUUGGUAAGGUAACGGCUUACCAAGGCAACGAUGCAUAGCCGACCUGAGAGGGUGAUCGGCCACACUGGAACCGAGACACGGUCCAG
rnacentral:rRNA from 1 species